rnacentral:lncRNA from 1 species
CUGCCGGCGGGGCGCCCCCGGCCUGAGACUCCCUGGAAGCCUCGUCCGCGAGUCGCGGACUCCGGGCCCGGAGGGCGGCGGGAGGUCCUGCGCUGCGGUGCGGCUAUAGCGCCCGCGCUCCCCGCGGAAGAACCGCCGAGUCGAGCGCUGAAGGUGUGGCCCAGCAGGAGUGUCAGAACGUGCCUAGCCGCUCGAGUCGGAGUCGCCAGAACCCCCGGAAGACGAGCCGUUCACCGGCAGGCCAACUGGGGCUCCUUCGUGUAGUGGACUGUCAGCCAAGCGUCGGGAACGCAGUGUCGUGGGUGUGCGGCUGACCGGGUGAGGAGGAUCUUUCACAGAGACCGUGCCCCUCCGUGGAGUCCAGGAACAGGUGCUGGAGGCGACGGAGGCCGAGGCAGUGGUUCCCUGGGCGGGUGUGGUGAUAGGGCAGGGGGCACUGUGGGCGGGGAUGGGGAUUCGCCCCCGUCUUCAUCUGGGGGUAGUUAAGUGGGUGUCUGCAUUCGUAAAAAUUCUUCACGUUUAUACCCUUAAGAUUAGUGCACUUCACUGCGUUACAAUACACCUCCAAAAAAGUGAAGGUGGUAACACUUCAUCCUUGAGUCCGUAUUUCCCCAUGAGCUCCAAAAUCACGCCACCAAGUUUUAGUGUAAAUUCUCUGCUUUUGUUAUAAUCGAAUCUCCUUUUUUUUUAGCUUGUUUUUGUUUUUUGUUUCUGGCUGCCCCUGCAGCAUGUGGAAAUUCCCUGGCCAGGGACGGAACCUGGCCCGUGACCCACACCACAGCACAACGCGGGAUUCGAGCCGAAUCUGUGACCUACACCACAGCUCAUGGCAACACCGGAUCCUUAACCCACUCAGCAAGGCCAGGGAUCGAACCCACAACCUCAUGGUUCCCAGUUGGAUUCGUUAACCACUGAGCCACGACGGGAACUCCUGAAAUCAAUUUUUUAAGAAAACGUGAAUAUAGAGAAUACCACUUGAGGCCAUGUUAGUCCCAUGGACAGUGGGAAAUCCCUUUUGAGGCAGAUACCCCACUGUGUCACUUAUUUUUCAACUGGCCAGCUCCUACCCAUCCUUCUACACUUAGAUAAGGCGUUUUCGGAUCCCUCCACCGCAACCGUCUGGACGGGGGCGGGGCAAGAGAUGUCAGAGUGUCUUCAGCCACCGGACCUGCCUUUAUCUCUGCAGGGUCACGUUAGAGUCAUCUCUCAGUAUCCUCGGGGCGCUGGUCCCGGACACCCUGUAGACACCAGCCCCCAGGCGCUCAUGCCCCUUAUAUAAAAUGACGUAUACACAUCUUCCUGUAUACUUUUUUUUUUUCCGUCUUUUUGGGGCUGCACCCGCAGCAUGUGGAAGUUCCCAGGGUAGGGGUUGAACGGGAGCUGUAGCUGCUGGCCGACGCCACAGCCCUAGCAAUGCAGGAUCUGAGCAGUGUCUGUGACCUUCACCACAGCUCACAGCAACACUGGAUCCUUUAACCCACAGAGCGAGGCCAGGGAUUGAACCCAAGUCUUCACGGAUACUAGUCGGGUUCAUUACCACUAAGCCACAAUGGGAACUCCCCUGUGUACUUCAAAUCAUCUCUAGCUUAUUUAUUCCUUUCUUUUUGGUCUCUCUCUCUCUCUCUCUCUUUUUUUUUUUUUUNCAUAUGGACGUUCCCAGGCUAGAGGUCAAAUCAGAGGUACAGCUGCCGGCCUACGUCACAGCCACGGCACCUCAGGAUCUGAGCUGCAUCUGUGACCUACAUCACAGCUCACAGCAACACCGGAUCUUUAACCCACUGAGCAAGGCCAGGCCUCGAACCUGCAUCCUCAGGGAUACUAGUCGCCUUUGUUAACCACUGAGCCAUGAUGGGAACUCAUAUAAUUCCUGAUACAAUGUAAAGGCCAUGUAAAUAGUUGGCAGCACAGGACAAAUUCAAGUUUUGUUUUUUGGAAAUUCGUUUCAAAUAUUUUCCACCCAAAGUUGGUUCAAUCCAUGGAUGAGGUACCCAUGGUUAUGAAGAGAUGACUGUACUAUAAUUACCUGCUCAUGUGGCUGUUUAUCCCACUACUGUGAGGGAUUCUUUUUUUCCUUUUUGGCCACCCCUUGCCAUGUGGAAGUUCCCCAGCCCGUGCCACAGCAGCGGCAAUGCCAAAUCCUUAACCCAUUCAGCCCCAGGGAGCUCCCACUGUGGGAUUCUUAACAUAGGGUAUUGUCUUAAUCAUCUCAAUGCCCAGCCACUCUCAGGUCAAUUACUAAUGUUUCCUUGACAGUCGUGUACUAAGAGCUGGGCAUGUUUCACCACUGAUUCCUUGCCGUAAGCCUUUAAUGUAGGCGCUGAGUUGGUGUCACACCACUUUCAACAGAUAAGUGAUCCUCUCCAGGUGACACAGGUAGUAAAUGGUGGAGCCAGUCUCAGGUUUAGCCGUCCUGCCUUCUUUUCUGAGUCCAUGAAGGAAUGGAAAGUCUAGACACAGCUGACGCUGUGGGUCCUGAGCAAGUUCCCUUUCCCAGGCUUAGUUGUAUCACGUUUCGUCAUCUCUUUUUAAGUUUUAGUCAUAUUUUAUUUUUGUUUUUGUCCUUUUAGGGCCGCGCCUGCAGCAUAGGGAAGUUCCCAGGAUGGGGUCUAAUCAAGAGCUGUAGCCACCGGCCUAUGCCACAGCCACAGCCACCUGGGAUCCGAGCCGCGUCUUCAACCUACACCGCAGCUCACAGCAACACUGGAUUCCCAAGCCACUGGGCGAGGCCAGGGAUCAAACCCACAACUUCAUGGUUCCUAGUCGAAUAUGUUUCUGCUGCACCAUGAUGGGAACUCCUGUACCCUUGUCUUUAAGAGAUAAAACCUCCUUAGAAGAUUAGAAAGGCGGACUCUUCUUCCCCUUCCCAGUGUCCGUGCCGGCAGCUAUUUGCUUUCCUGUAAUAAAGACUUGCUUGCUCGCGG